rnacentral:rRNA from 1 species
CGAUUAGAGUUUGAUCCUGGCUCAGAAUCAACGCUGGCGGCGUGCCUCAGACAUGCAAGUCGAACGAUUAAACUUCUCUUCGGAGAAGAUAUAAAGUGGCGCACGGGUGAGUAACACGUAGGUAAUCUACCUUUGAGUGGGGAAUAACUUAGGGAAACUUAAGCUAAUACCGCAUAAUGCAGCGGCAUCUUCGGAUGACAGUUGUUAAAGGAGCAAUUCGCUUAAAGAGGAGCCUGCGGCAGAUUAGCUAGUUGGUAAGGUAAUGGCUUACCAAGGCGACGAUCUGUAACCGACCUGAGAGGGUGGUCGGUGCACACUGACACUGAAUAACGGGUCAGACUCCUACGGGAGGCAGCAGUCGGGAAUUUUGGGCAAUGGGCGAAAGCCUGACCCAGCAACGCCGCGUGAAGGAUGAAGUCUCUCGGGAUGUAAACUUCGUAAGAAUAGGAAGAAUAAAUGACGGUACUAUUUGUAAGGUCCGGCUAACUACGUGCCAGCAGCCGCGGUAAUACGUAGGGACCAAGCGUUGUUCGGAUUUACUGGGCGUAAAGGGCGCGUAGGCGGUUUGUCAAGUCAGUUGUGAAAUCUCCGAGCUUAACUCGGAACGGUCAACUGAUACUGUCAAACUAGAGUACAGAAGGGGCAAUCGGAAUUCUUGGUGUAGCGGUGAAAUGCGUAGAUAUCAAGAGGAACACCUGAGGUGAAGACGGGUUGCUGGGCUGAUACUGACGCUGAGGCGCGAAAGCUAGGKUAGCAAACGGGAUUAGAUACCCUGGUAGUCAAUCACU